UAAAAUAUGUCAAAAAAUACAAAAUUGAAAAUGUAAAUAGAAUUGAUAGGACAUGAGAUUCUAAAAUUAUGACUAACCCUCCAAAAAAUCAAAUUUUUACCUUCUCUAUGGGUUAUGGGAACCUUACUACCGACUGCAAAAUACUAUGCGCUAUUGAAAUAACAGUUAGCAUUAUCAUUUUUACCCUUACUGCACCAUCUUAUAAAAGACAUCAUGAAGAUUCCUUUCAAGAGCUGUUCAUAGCGCAUUAUUACCAAUGGGUGAUGAUUGAUAGAAGUUUGGUUGUGCUGACAAGUAUCUACCUUUAUAUAUCAAUUUAUCAACAAGAUCAAUUAUUAGUUAUACCAUACAUCGUGUGGACUAUUGUACAGGUCCCUAUUAAUUUAUUGUGUUGUAUGUACUUGACAAAAGUUAUCGAAAUGUGGGUCAUAUUACCAUGGUCAAUCACCUUCAUGGAAUUUUAUGGUGGACUUCUGGCUGCUUCUGUUCGAAAUGAUUGGAAAUGGGAUGAAACACAUAGAUUAAAUACGCUUAAAAUUUACAAUGCUCUCCUAAAGACUUAUUCAACCCAAAAGCCAUCAAUGGGAAAAGAUGACAAAUUUCAUGAAACACAUGAACAGCAAAAUAGUAUUGAGUUUCAACAAUUGAGCAUCGAAGUUGAAGGAGAGGAAAAUCAACUGUCGAAAACUAUACAUGAAGUUCAAAGUAAAAGGGAAUUGUUGAAACAAAAAUGGGAUGAGAUCCGAAGAGAAGAAAUGAUUAGACAAAUGGAAGAAACAAAAAGACAAACCUUGGAAAAGAAGGAAGCUAAAAAACAUAAGAAAGUCAAAGAGAGUGAGAUAAUGAAACCGGGAAACAUCUCUACUACUCCAAUCCAAAAUGAAAAGUCACGAAUCAACGAGCAUGAGCAAAUGUCGACUAGAUUAGAAUUAGGGCUGAACAAGGUUGCCAAAAAAAUAGGUGGUUUUAAGAAAUCUAAGAAAGAAACCCCGGAGGAUAGUAUAUUAACGAAAAAACAUCAAGAAAAAGAUGUAAAUGAAUUGGAAGAAGAAAUCAAAGUCACUGGAUCAACAAAAUUAGUAUACGACAGAAAUACAGAGGAAGAUAGUUUGAGUACUACCGAAAUACUAUUGGGGUCGCAAAUGAAUGCCGAAAAAGAAAAGGAAAUUAAAGAACAAAGUGGAAUGAAAAAAGAAGAAAAUCUAUCUACGAGACGAGAAAUCAAUAAAGAACUGUCUUUAAAUACAAAAUCCAAAUCUGAGCUCACAAGGAAAUGCAACAUAGAGCCUGAAGAGGCAUCCUCAAUUCAGAGGGUUCAUCCAACUAUCGAAAAAAGAAAUGAGGGUCCUUUAAAAAAUAAGGAAGGAAGUAAACCUCGUUUAAAUUGCCCUUUAUGGAGAAAGCUAAACACAGAUGAAUUUCCAUUGAAAGAAUGGUCUAAUGAAAUAGUGACUGAGGUUGAAUAUCAGAUUGAUUCAUCGAAUGAUAUGUAUGAAUGUAAGAGUAUAACAGAAAGCCAAAAAGUAAUAUCAAAAGAUAUAUCUGGUGAAGGAGAAGAGAAGUAUUCAUUUCUGAGAACAAAACACGAAACAAACAAAAUAAAAAUGAAGAAAACUAAAAUUGGAUCCAAGAAAUUUAAUUAAAAAAACAAAGAAAAAAUCAUUUGAUGGGACUUUUUAAGCUUUUGGUUGAAUAUUUGUGAAUAUGAGUUGUUCGAGUCAUUGCUUUAAGAGGAGAGCGUUGGAAUUGAAGAGUCACAGCACCUCCGCCGUUUACAACCAUGUCAAACCUGUGAGAGAAAGGAUUCAAUUCAUCAUUACUUUGCUUUGAUUGUUGAAACUUUUAUUAUAUUCUUAAAGUAAUAUUAUUAUUAUGUGUGUAGUCCUUAUUGUUGUAACUAUUAAAAUAUAAUAAGUAACUA
rnacentral:misc_RNA from 1 species